AAAACUUUCAACAACGGAUCUCUUGGUUCUCGCAUCGAUGAAGAACGCAGCAAAGCGCGAUAGGUAAUGCGAAUUGCACACGUGAGUCAUUGAAUCUUUGAACGCAUAUUGCGCUACUAGGUUCUCCUAGUAGCAUGCUUGUUGGAGCGCCGAUCUUUCUCUC
rnacentral:rRNA from 1 species